AAGAAUACUCGUUCGAUGUAUUCAAGAAAUAAUUAGCCAAACAUAUAAUUUCUACUUACUGAACUUGUCUGUUGUAUUCAGUUUAUUAGUGUGAAAACGAAUAUAAUAUUUCUUGUAUUUUGUGUUCUCAUACGUACAGACGAUAAGCAUUCAAUUUCAAAAUUCUUUAUCAACUUGGAUGAUACAGGUAAUUGAGAAAAAUUGUAGAAAGUACAUACCAGGCAUAGAAGGGCUCACUCAACUCAGCAUAAGGGAUGAACAGCAAGCCUUUGACGGAGUACACGGGGCUCCAUUGUG